AUUUUCAUCAGUCGUCUGCUGUAGUGUUUGUCAGUUCAACCAGAGUGGUCGCCAAUUGAUAGAGCUGUCAGAAUCCUUGAUUAUAUUCUAUUCAAGCAUAUUUUCAUGGUGAAAGUUUUCUUCGUAAAUUUGUUAGUUGUGUUUCUUUUAAUGUUCUAAACGACUGUCGUUUGUCAUUUGUUUUCAAAUCAAUAAUUAUGUUUGUGAAGCAGACGAUAUGUUUUCAUUUCUAAGAAACUUGGUGUAGACGUCUGUUUUUUUCCUUAAUUUGGAAAGGUGUGUUGACUGAAAAGAUGUUUUUCACUGGAGGAUCUGGGUAUAUCGGAAGCCCCUGUGUAGUUGAGCUUAUGGAACUGGCUAUCUGGUUAUUUCUUGCGAGAAGUUUGGGAAGAUUGGCUGCUUCUGGAAGUGAUAGCAUUCAGCUAAGCCGAGUAAUAAAAGAAAUAACCUUAACAUUGCCAAGGAAUAAGUCAUUGGAAAGAAUAAUUCACUAUACAGUAGCGAAGAAGUUAACGGCGAAGAAGUUAAAUCUCAAGAACAGAGCUGAGAAACGCCCAAUUGAUAAUUCUACCAGCAAAGAUUCAUCAAGUAGUUCAUUCAGGGCUGAGAAAGAGAAGUCAAAGUUGCAGAAGGAGCUGUUGUCUUCUGUUGUCUCUGCAGUCGAGCUUAUUUCUCAAGUUGAGUCAGCCUACAAAGAAAGGGCCAGUUAAAACGUACACCAAGCAAGUAGAAAAGUUAGAUUUGCAAUUUCAUGAGUACACACUCUAAGUGGAAGAGCUCAACAGCAUAUUAUCGACAUCAGCAGCCACAAAACUCGAAAAAAUUGAAGCAAGGAAGUUCGAUAGCUGAAAUUCAGCUACGAAAAUAUCAGCUAUAUGAAGACCAACUCAGCUCAAGCCAAAUCAAUUCGAACAUCUGCGUCGUCGCUUUGAAGACAAAGAACGCAUCCAAGUAGGCCUACGAACCCAGCUAGCAUGUCUUUAUUGGUAAAAUAUUUUUUUCCGACAAUAUUCUUCGAUCGAUAACCCACAUAUUGGUAUAAUAU